AUGAUCAGGCAGCGGAGGGAGGAGAUUCGGUUGGGAAAGCGCCCUGUUGACUCCACUCUUGGCUCCUCUCUCUCCUUUGUGCGAGGUCGACGUGGCCGGCCGCCUUGCCAGAUACCACGUCGUCAACUUCCCCUUCUCCAGCGGCAACGUUGGCGCCGCGACAGCACGCUUGCCCUCCUCACUGGCGGUGACGAGGCCGAUGUCACCUGGCUCGCCCCGCUCUUUACCCAUCUCGGUCAGCCUAUCUACACGGGCCUGCACUGCAGCGGUCAGAGUAAUAAGGCCAACCAGAUCUUGCGAGACCCGUGCACAGAGCCGUAG
rnacentral:rRNA from 1 species